GGGGUCAGGUACAGACAGGUGUGUGUGUGUGUGUGUGUGUGUGUGUCAGGUACAGACAGGUGUGUGUGUGUGUGUGUCAGGUACAGACAGGUGUGUGUGUGUGUGUACAGUUAUCUCUCACUGAGCUGCGGUGCUCUUUGAGGGAGUCAG